UUUUCCCUACGGGACGCAGCAGUGAGGAAUAUUGGUCAAUGGGCGCGAGCCUGAACCAGCCACGUAGCGUGAAGGAUGACUGCCCUACAGGUUGUAAACUUCUUUUAUAAAGGAAUAAAGUGAGGCACGUGUGCCUUUUUGUAUGUACUUUAUGAAUAAGGAUCGGCUAACUCCGUGCCAGCAGCCGCGGUAAUACGGAGGAUCCGAGCGUUAUCCGGAUUUAUUGGGUUUAAAGGGAGCGUAGAUGGGUUGUUAAGUCAGUUGUGAACGUUUGCGGCUCAACCGUAAAAUUGCAAUUGAUACUG
rnacentral:rRNA from 1 species